rnacentral:sRNA from 1 species
AUUCUUGUUCAAUAAAGCCUAGCAUCAAGACAUGUCUUCAUGUAGUAUUUUAUUAGGUCACUUCAUUAUUUAUGGAUUUGCAACCAAACAUGCAGUCCAUGUGUGAUAUGGUUAUGGUGUUUGACCUAAAAGAAAGGAACUACUUGGGACAGCAUGAACAUAGUCAAGUCCUAAUGUCAACUCGGUGCUCAAGACACGUUUCCUAAUGAUCGAAAAGACGUUAAGGCUCAUUAAAUAAAACAAACAUGUACUUGACACUGA